rnacentral:rRNA from 1 species
GACGAACCGUGCGAACGUUGUUCGGAAUCACUGGGCUUAGAGGGCGCGUAGGCGGGUCGGCCAGUCUGUGGUGAAAUCCCCCGGCUUAACCGGGGAACGGCCGCGGAUACUGCCGACCUCGAGGGGGGUAGGGGCGUGCGGAACACUAGGUGGAGCGGUGAAAUGCGUUGAUAUCUAGUGGAACUCCGGUGGCGAAGGCGGCGCGCUGGACCCCUUCUGACGCUGAGGCGCGAAAGCCAGGGGAGCGAACGGG